GGGCAGAUAGCUCAGUUGGUAGAGCAAUGGACUGAAAAUCCAUGUGUCGGCGGUUCAAUUCCGUCUCUGCCCA
rnacentral:tRNA from 3 species